GUGGGAGGGGGCUUGCCCCCGAUUGCGGUGUGUCAAUCAGUACAUAUGUCACUGAUCCACCGCUAUCGGGGGCAAGCCCCCUCCCAC
rnacentral:misc_RNA from 1 species